GGAGCCUUAGCUCAGUGGUAGAGUAGCAGAUUCCAAUUCUUCGGAAUAAUCUGUUGGUCAGCAGUUCAAUCCUGUUAGGCUUCA
rfam:Cryptococcus amylolentus CBS 6039 supercont1.1, whole genome shotgun sequence.